rnacentral:rRNA from 1 species
AUUGAACGCUGGCGGCAGGCCUAACACAUGCAAGUCGAGCGGAGCGGCGGACGGGUGAGUAAUGACUAGGAAUCUGCCUGGUAGUUGGGGAUAAGGUACGGAAAGGGGCGCUAAUAUCGCAUACUAUUAGAUGACCCUAGGUGGGAUUAGCUAGUUGGUGAGGUAAAGGCCUACCAAGGCGACGAUCCGUAACUGGUCUGAGAGGAUGAACAGUCACACUGGAACUGAGACACGGUCCAGACUCCUACGGGAGGCAGCAGUGGGGAAUAUUGGACAAUGGGCGAAAGCCUGAUCCAGCCAUGCCGCGUGUGUGAAGAAGGUCUUCGGAUUGUAAAGCACUUUAAGUUAGGAGGCGUUACCAGCAGAAUAAGCACCGGCUAACUUCGUGCCAGCAGCCGCGGUAAUAC